rnacentral:misc_RNA from 1 species
UGGAUAUGGAGGUUUGUGCAGAUAGCCUUAUUGGCAAUCUGCUCCUCUUAAAUGAAUUAGCGAGUUUUAACUAGGCUCUAUCUAUUGGUGUGAUAAUUAUCUACGCCGUGGGUUAAGCUUAGACUUGCUUCUAACUGUCUGAAAGGACAAUACUAUGACAAUUUGACCUCAAAUCAGGUAGGACUACCCGCUGAACUUAA